CCUCAGCUGAGCCCCACAUGGUGACAUCUGCCAGUGAGGCUGGGACAUCAGCACCAUGCCCCUGUUUGCAGGCCCCUCACAUCAGCCACUGCUCCUUCUCUUUGAUGAAGUGCUCUGCCCAGCGGCGAGUCAGCUCCAGGGCCGGAUGCUGGUGUCAAUGUAGCCAGGCCCCACACUGGGAAUGAACAUGAGGUUAUUGGCAUCGCAAAAGUUCUUCACAGCUUUCCAGUUCUGAUGGGAGGAGCCGAAGGAGAAACCAUUGGAGGCAAAAAUUGAAGAAAAUAAGAGUGACAUAGGCACUCUUUAUUAGAACCCCACCCCCAACACCAUACUUGCUAUGUAUUUGCCAUACCUGGGCUAGCGCCAAGAACUUCAGUAGAGGCACUAUCCCUGUGGGCAGAAGAGGGGAAAUCUCCAGAAUGGGCCAGAGAGCACUUGAUCUCUUCUUGAGGACUUACCUGGAUAUUGUACUGAUGGGCAGUGUCCAGAAUGGCGGGCACAAGGUCAUCUGAAGGUUCCCCAUUAUCAUCAGCCAUGCCAGGUGGAUACCAGGACAGGACCAGGACACCUGAGACACAACACAGAAGCUACUUUAGAGGCACAUAAUAUUCCCACAACAGAGAUUUGUUUCCUCACAAACCAUCUCCAACUGCAAAAUGGUUUCUGAAUGAAACCUAGAGCGAGGCUCCAGCCAGGUUCACUUCCUGCAGAUAAAAUUCCAGAGCCUCGCGCCCCGGAGCUGUCCAUGCCCGCGGUGCUGAAGCAAGCCGCUGGGAGAACCUUAACGCACCAGCCUUAGAGCCUGAGAAAAACCCUGGUAGGAGCCGGGCUUUCGCUGACAUUAGCAAGUAGUAGAACAAAGGGAAAUUGGUGGACGAUGCCACACCCACUCAUCCAGAAGCCACAGUCCUAUCUCUGGAGGAGAGAAGCACCUCUGAGGUCCCUCAGGGAGAAAAGCCCCAAACAGAGAUCAUCUUAUUCUUCCCAUGGGAAACAGCAUUUGUCUCGACUGCCCCUCUAGACUAAAAUCCUGAGGGGUAAACUCUGUGUUAUUUAUCUGUGAAUACCUCUAACCAUUAUUUCUGGCAUUCAAUUUUUCCCCUCACCAAUUGUUUCCAGAUAAAUUGAAAUGUAUUGUAAAAUCCA